CACCCCUCCGCCCCCCAAAAGGGCUGGGAGUAAAGUAAGAAAAUAGACCCAGGUUUGUUUCGUUUAAAGGAGGAUGCAAUUUUGCCCGUGAAUGCAUUUUCUCAAAAUGCGUUUGCUUCAUUCCUUCUUUGCUAAAGAAUAUCAACGGAUUUGCUAAUAUGCAGGAGACCGGUUGAUUCUCGUGGUCUGUUUCCUCUCAAAGAACCUAGUCCAGGAACAUCCAGUGUGUGUCAGAUCAGAUCCAAGCCACAAAGCUGCGUGAAACUGCAAAGCCGGUCUGGAAGCUGUGAGCCGCUCGGCUGUCUCGUCCACAUAUAACAUCAGAGCGCCCCCUGCUGGCCAGUGGAGUAGACCGCUGCGGGUCAGCCCCCUGCGAAGCAAAUCUUGUUUUUCUGCGCCCCCCACCCCCCCUCACAGUGACUCCCUUCCACCAACCCCACCUCGGUCCUGCAGCAAAACCCCGCGGGAGAGAAAUAACUUGGAAAGGCUGAA